GGACUACCAGGGUUUCUAAUCCUGUUUGCUCCCCACGCUUUCGUGCCUCAGUGUCAGUGCUGGUCCAGGUGGCCGCCUUCGCCACAGAUGUUCCUCCCGAUCUCUACGCAUUUCACUGCUACACCGGGAAUUCCACCACCCUCUACCGCACUCUAGCCUGCCAGUUUCCAAUGCCAUUCCCAGGUUGAGCCCGGGGAUUUCACAUCAGACUUAACAAACCACCUACGCACGCUUUACGCCCAGUAAUUCCGAGUAACGCUUGCACCCUUCGUAUUACCGCGGCUGCUGGCAC
rnacentral:rRNA from 1 species